UUCAAUAAUAUAAAAAAUAAUAUAUAUAUUGACAUGGAUUAAACAAAGAUAUAUAUUAUUCUAUGUUGUAUAAACAAAUUGGCAAAAUAGAGAUGGAAGAUAAAAAUAUGGUCAAAGUAAUAAGAGUCUAUGGUGGAUGCCUAGGAGCUUUAAGGCGAAGAAGGUCGUGGUAAGCUGCGAAAAGCUUGGGGGAGAAGCAAACAUUUAUUGAUCCCAAGAUUACCGAAUGGAGUAAUCCAGCUAGCAAGAUGCUAGCUAUCUAUUAUCUAAAUAAUAGAGGCGAUACCAGGGGAAGUGAACCAUCUAAGUACCCUG
rnacentral:misc_RNA from 1 species